CACGUAGGGGGCAAGCGUUGUCCGGAUUUAUUGGGCGUAAAGAGCUCGUAGGCGGUUCGGUAAGUUGGGUGUGAAACCUCCAGGCUCAACCUGGAGACGCCACCCGAUACUGCUGUGACUAGAGUCCGGUAGGGGAGCGUGGAAUUCCUGGUGUAGCGGUGAAAUGCGCAGAUAUCAGGAGGAACACCAGCGGCGAAGGCGGCGCUCUGGGCCGGAACUGACGCUGAGGAGCGAAAGCGUGGGGAGCGAACAGG
rnacentral:rRNA from 1 species